rnacentral:sRNA from 1 species
GAAGCCCCACCCCGGUGCGCGGGUAUGGCGGCCAGCCUCUGGAUGGGCGACGUGAGUGAGGGCAGCCGUCCGGGGUCUGAGGACAAGGAAGCAUCUCGGUUUCGCGAGGGAGGAAGAGUCUGAGUGGGAGGGAACUUGGGAUCCCAAAAAGGGGAGACGUGUGACGGGGGUUCUUUUUGGUGACACAGAAGCGGGUUCCAGCAUCUAAGUGAAGAGGCUGAGUCCGUCAGGCCAGGGGUCCUGGGGCCCCACCUGGGUUCGUGGGAGGGAAAGGUGGUGCUUUGGGGACAUAGAAUGGGAGGAAUCCAAGGACUGAGGCGCGCUGUUCUGGGACCGGAGGAGUGGGGUUUCUAGGUCUAAGGGAGGCUCCCUAAAGGGGGGCAAGCUUGAAUCAAAGGAGCUGGGGUUUCAGGCCGCUCAGUGGAGGCGAACCUCGCCCCUAGCUCCCCCUGCGGCACGUAGCCAGCCCUGGGCUGAACGGGAGGGGCUCUGGAACCCGGAGUGGGAAGCCCGGCCGCCGGCCUGAGCCGCUGUGCUCUUGUUUUUACGCAGCUGGAACCCUACAUGGAUGAGAACUUCAUCUCCAGAGCCUUUGCCACCAUGGGGGAGACCGUAAUGAGCGUCAAAAUUAUCCGAAACCGCCUCACUGGGAUCCCAGCUGGCUACUGCUUUGUAGAAUUCGCAGAUUUGGCCACAGCUGAGAAGUGUUUGCAUAAAAUUAAUGGGAAACCCCUUCCAGGAGCCACACCUUUACUUAGCUUACAGCUGCACCAGCUGGCACACCUGGGCUCAUAGAACCAUGGAGCUGGCAGUGCCCUUAGCGGUCAUCCGUGCAACCCCCUCAUUUUAUACAGGAGAAAAAGCUGAGGCUUAGAGAGGGGGAGAUGUUUUGGCCAAGGCGAAACGCUUUAAACUGAACUAUGCCACUUAUGGGAAACAACCAGAUAACAGCCCUGAGUAUUCCCUCUUUGUGGGGGACCUGACCCCGGAUGUGGAUGAUGGCAUGCUGUAUGAAUUCUUCGUCAAAGUCUACCCCUCCUGUCGGGGAGGCAAGGUGGUUUUGGACCAGACAGGCGUGUCUAAGUAAGGCCUUACUUGUUACUGAUGCUUAACUGUGUUAGUUUCAGCAUUUCUCUCCUGAGUGGAGGUGUUUUAGAAAGGCCCUGCAGCAUGGUGGUUAAAACCACAAGCUCUGUAACCAAACUGCCUGGUUCAAAUCCCAGCUCCAAUACAGGUGAGGGAGAGUGCCAGUAUUGUAGAAUUGAGGCUCCGUGACCCUUAUAGCCCCAUCUGUAAAAUGGAGCUGAUUAAUAAUAGCUGCUUGUAGGGUUGAUGUAAGGAUUAAAGGAUAUAAUACAAGUAAGUCACAUUUGAAAUGCUUUAUAGGUGUUUGCUGUUUUGCUUGUUAUUGUUACUGAGCCUUUCAGUGUAGUUAGAAGUGUUCCACUUCAGGCUGGGCGUGGUGGCUCAUGCCUGUAAUCCUAACACUUUGAGAGGCCAAGGUGGGUGGAUUGCGUGAGCUUAGGAGUUUGAGACCAGCCUGGGCAACAUGGUGAAAGCCGUCUCUAUUAAAAUACAAAAAAUUAGCUAUGUGCGGUGGUGUGCACCUGUAGUCCCAGCUACUUGGGAGGCUGAGGUAGGAUAAUUGCUUGAACCUGGAAGGCGGAGGUUGCAAUGAGCCAAGAUUGUGCCACCACACUCCAGCCUGGGCGACAGAGCGAGACUGUCUCCAUAAAAAAAAAAAAAAAAAAAAAAAAGUUGGCCCGGCAUGGUGGCUCAUGCCUAUAAUCCCAGCACUUUGGGAGGCUGAGGUGGAUGGAUCACCUGAGGUCAAGUGUUUGAAACCAGCCUGGCUAACAUGGCAAAACCCUGUCUCUACUAAAAAAAUACAAAAGUUAGCAGGGAAUGGUGGCACGCGCCUGUAGUCCCAGCUACUUGGGAGGCUGAGGCAGAAUUGCUUGAAUCCAGGAGGCAGAGGUUGCAGUGAGCUGAGAUCAUGCAACUGUGCUCCAGCCUGGGUAACAGAGCGAGACUCCGUCUAAAA